GCAUAACGCGAAGAACCUUACCAGGGCUUGACAUCCCUCUGAUCCUCCUAGAGAUAGGAGCUCCCUUCGGGGCAGAGGUGACAGGUGGUGCAUGGUUGUCGUCAGCUCGUGUCGUGAGAUGUUGGGUUAAGUCCGCAACGAGCGCAACCCUUAUCUUUAGUUGCCAGCAUUUAGUUGGGCACUCUAGAGAGACUGCCGUCGACAAGACGGAGGAAGGUGGGGAUGACGUCAAAUCAUCAUGCCCCUUAUGUCCUGGGCUACACACGUGCUACAAUGGAUGGAACAACGGGCAGCUAACUCGCGAGAGUACGCAAAUCCCUUAAAACCAUUCUCAGUUCGGAUUGCAGGCUGCAACUCGCCUGCAUGAAGCCGGAAUCGCUAGUAAUCGCGGAUCAGCAUGCCGCGGUGAAUACGUUCCCGGGUCUUGUACACACCG
rnacentral:rRNA from 1 species